CUCCCUCGCCCUCAUAUUAUUGGUCCUGUUCUGGAAAAUCGACCUUUUUAUAGAUAAAAUUGUAAUUAUUGCAUCUAUUUUAUAUUUAAUAAGCAAUAAAUUUUUUCAAACUACCCGCUUAUAUCUGCAAAUUUUGUACAUAAUGGUAGCUAAGAAAGGGCAAAAGGGGGAAUGUUGGUAAAUUUAUGCGGUGACUUUUUAAAAUAGAUAUAAAUUUUGGGAUAUUCAAAAAAAAAAGACCAAAAAAUAUAGGAGGGAGAGAAUAUAUAUGGACAAAGUUUGGCUGCAACCCUUGGGGCAACAGGAAUUCCGCAACCUCACUCUUUGGGCUAAGUUAGAUAGCCACAACAACUAAAUCAGCUACAACAGAUUGUUAAGCCUAGUAGUUUGAUUUUUGUACAGUAUAAAGUUGCUUUUAAUCUAACUAGAUAGAGCAUUUCUAAUAACCUCUCAGUAUUUGGUUCUCUACUUUGUCUAAUUUAGUUUAAGGACUCCUUUGUUUUAAUCACUCUAAUAAGGAAACAUCUCUAGCAAUCUUCUAGUUAUUUAACUACCUAAAUGGUCUAUAUUUUAAUUUAGGGAGUCAUUUUUUUUAAGUACUCAAACCACCACUCCUUUUUAAUUGCAACAACAAUAAAAUAUUUGUCUUUGAAAAUAUUUUAAAAUAAUCACAUAAUCAAAAAUUAAUUAGGUGACAAAAUUUGCACUUUACUUUUCCCAACACACCACACUUUGGGUCGUAUUAUAAUUUUUUUUAAUAAAAGGCCGAUAUUGCCUCCAAUUAGAAGAAAGAACUAAAAAUAUAAUAGUAUAUAUAGAGUAAUUAUAAUUUUCGAAAAAGUAUUAAGGGUUUCUUAAACUUUCUAUAAUAAAACCAAAAAGUAAAGUGCAUUUAAUAAAAAGAUACACCGGUAAAAAGGGAUCAUCUCCAUUAGUUAUAAUUUUUAUAAUGCCUCUUCUCUUCGUGCUCUUCAAUUUAUAAGUUCUGUAUGCUAAAAAAUAAAUAUUAGUAAUUUCGAGGAUAAAAUAUGGAGGUUGUGGAGUUGGUAUAUUAAAUAAACACCCAGCUAAAAUUGCGUGGUUUAAAAUUAUUAUUCUAUAAAAAAACUAUUGGCAUGCCACUAACAUCCACUAUUUUAUUGACUCACAACAAAAAAAAACAAAAAAUGUAUGCUACUUCCGGGAAGUUGAUAAAAAAAUCAAGGUUGCCAGCGAAAUUCUUGAUGACCGGGUGCAGCCAAACUUUGUCCAUCUAGUAUUCUCGUCUAGAAUUCCCAAUGACUCGAGGAAAGAGAGUUGUUACACAAGGGACAUUAUCUUUUGGUAAGGGCAUUAUUUGAACUGUGAAGCUUGAAUUGUUUUUUCUCCACUGAUAUGGAACACUCUUCCUUGCUCUUUUUCCUCACACUUGUUUUGCUUUAUUUUUUUGUUAUGACUUCACAUCCCCUCUCAAAAAAAAAAAAAAGGAAAAGGAAAAUAAAAGAGAGAAACAACAUUGGAACAAUUGUUUUUCAUUAUCAUUAGGAGGCCAAAUAAGAACCAGUGCCUGAGGGGCACGGAUUAAGAUGUAUUAAUGACUCAAAAUGUCAAAAUAGUAUUUGAUUUUGAUACAACCAAAAGAAAAGCAAUCUUUUAGCUUCGUUAUUAACGAGAGUUUUCCCAACUAAUUAAAUUAUUGCAACGGAAUCAAUUUUAGAAUACCAAAUUUCAAUGGUAUUUUUUUCCAAACAAUGAUUAAUACUUCAAUUUUAAUUUUAAGGAUUAUGUCAUUAGCCGUAGAUCCGUAUUUAUAAUUUCUUUACUUUUUAAGUACAUCAAAUUAUUGAUUGAAAGUUGUGGAUUUAAUGAAAUAAAUUGCAAGUUUUUUUUUUUUUUUUUUGUAAAUAGGGAAAGUAAAUUGUUUAUGGAAAAUGAUGCAGUAAAUGGAUGUUCAUAUAAUCAAUACAAAGCCUAUUAAAGUCAAAUAAACCACAUUUAUUGUUAUCAGACAGGUAAUAGGGUUGACUUAUUAAUAGACCUCAUCACUAAUGUAAUGAACCUAAUUUCAAGCAAACUAAGUCCCAUGGUGUUGCCUGAAAAAAAACUAGGGUUUUUAAUAGAAGAAUCUUAACAAUACCCGAUUUUUGAAAGUUAAGCUAAUUAACUGAAAAUGUGAUACUAAAUUAAUUAAAUCUUACAAUUUCUUACUCGUCUCACUAAUGCAUCAAGUUGUGAUACAGAUUUUAAACUUGAAAUGGAAGCCAAAGGAGUGAUGUGAUAAGAACAACUACGUGAUCAAGAAAAAAUUUAUAUUAUUUGUUAACUUAUCAAAUUACUGUAAUUAACUUACCCAAAGUGGGCGUACAAUUCAUUUUUUGUCCAUUUACACGUGGCGGAAUCCAAUUACACACGAACGAUAUUAUUGAGAAUUCAUUAAGAACCUUUUAGGAGACCACUUAUGCCUAAAGGUAUUUUAUUUUUUAUGAUAUGUUUUUUUUAAAUUUGGUACAAAAGAAAAGAUAUGUAAGGUUGUAAUGUAGAAAAGUUGUCAGUUUUAAGCUAAAUUUAGCCGCUUGAUUUCUGAAUUUUACGUUUUUAAUGAAUUCUUGUAAUUGUCGAUGAUAGUUCAUACUUUUCAUUCCUCUGACAAGAGAAAUUUAAAAUGUAAUUUUUUAUCGAAUUUAAAAAAAAUUACUAAAGAAAUGAACAAUUAUUGUUUACAAACACAUAAGUUAAAUUUUUUGUUCGUUCCUGAUUUUUUGUCAAGAUUUUUAUAUUUUUUAUCUCCUCUCAUCAAAAGAAAUCGAAAAAAAAUAUAAAAUUUGGUAUCUCCAAAUUUAGCAAAUCAUAAUAUUACCAAUCAUACUUAAAUCUUACUUUCAAUCAAUAUUGAAAAUCCACCAUACCACCCAUAACAUUGACCAUUCACCUUUAAUCAAAUCUCCACUAGUUUUUUGAGAAAACCGCUAGCACCACAAAAAGUUGCAACGGUUUGUGAGUGAAGAGGAGCCACAAGGUUGCAACGUAGAGAGUUGUAGUGUGCGACAUGAAUUUUAUUGAUAAAACGGUUGAUAUUGACGGUGGUCGGGAGGUAGGUGUAAUGGUGAGAGUAGGUGGGGAAGGUGGAGACAGUGGAGAAGCGCCAAUAAAAGUAGGCUGUGGUUGGAAGUUGGGACACGAAGGUGGAAAGUAGUGACUUAUUCCUUGGUUUUUAUUAACUAUACCAUAAGUCAAUAAUUUUUAACUGAUUGAGGUUCUAUUAACUCAUAUCUUAAGGCAUAUAAUUUUUAACUGAAUGAGAGUGCAAUGUGAUUUUAAAAAAAAUAAAGAGGCUAGUUAUCUGCAGAUUCAUAUAGGGGGAGUUCGUGAAAGUUACCUUUUCAGUUCAGGAUUUUGGUUUGUGAGAAGAGGCCUUCAGGAUAUUUACACUCCUGAUUCUCUCUUCUCUUCCUCGUAGGCUUAAUUUACAAUAGCAAUGAAACUGUGAGUGUAAAGCACCUGCAAGUUGUGAACUUGUUAGCUUUGGCUUAGUCGUGUGACUGUGAGGGUAACGUGUGGGGAAAAGCCUUUUCAUGGAUUAUUAAGGAUGCGUGUACCACAUUUUUAGUAGAUACCCAAAAGCAAAUUUGAAGAUGAAUAUUAGCCUUACUGGUUUUUUUUCUAAACAUUUUGAUGGAGGUUUGUUUUGUAUGAAGGAUAUUAGGUAGGUAGGUAGGUUGGUUAAUUUAGAAGACAGGUAAAAGAUAUUUUUAUAGAACUCUCUCGAUAAUAAGAUAGUAAGACUGUUUUUCAUACAGAACUGUUACGGUAUCUAAAUUUGGACAAAAAAAAGUUUAUCGAUUCACAAUAAAUUUAAUCCAGAUUUACUUAAAUAUAAUGUAUAGAAUCAUAUAAUCAAGUGAAUUAAAUUAUCAAGUAACUUCCAAGAAUGCAAUACUAAGGUCAAAAACUAUCCCAUACAUCUAAUUCCUAGUGCUAAUCCCGAAAGUGGUUAUUUUAUUCAAUAAAAGAACAAAAGAGACUUCAUAAAACAACAAGUAAUAUUCAUGUUGUCAUAAUGACAGUUACGUUCCUUAUAGUCACGCUCUUAACCUACCAACUUCAAAUAACUACCCAAAAAAAGGAAAGAAUCAUCGCACUUACUUGGGUAAAUCAGGAUCAUCAAGAUCAUCAUCAAGUCCUCCUAUAUAUCAAUUUAAGAAGUGGUUCAAUUUCUUGGUGCUAAUUUUGUGCUUUUAAGUCAAAAUUAAGAUACACAACAAAAUUAAGCUAUGAUCGAUCCAUGUAUAUAUAUCACAAUUCACACUAUAUAACUAAACUAAACUUUGAUAUCAUUAUUUUGAACUGUAUAUUCAUAUUCUAUAAAGAUAUUUGUUUGUGUGGGUAUAUAUGUAGAGUCUCCCAGCCCAAACAUUAAUUGCAUGACUUUUAUAUGGGGGGGGGGGGGGGGACCGCCUUUUGCACGUGAUGGAUGAUCCAUUCAGUAGAUAUCAAUGAAUUCUAUGAGUGGAUGGGGAGAUCUAGACACCAGGUAGAUAGAUAUUUAUAAAACUAUUUCAUAAAACUUAAAUGUCAGGCAAAAUUUUAAAAUUUAUUGGGGAAAUUUUAAAAAAAAAAUCUAAAAUUGUAUUUGAAAGUUCAAUUUUUCUAAAUUAAGCAGCAUAAAUUGAUUUCACUUGCCAUGCCAUGGCUUUGUCCUUAGGUAUGAGAGUGUCUCAUCUACAAGCACCAAUAUAAAAGAAGAAAAAUGUGAAUAUGUUUCAAAAAAACUUUACAGUUCUCGAAUUUAGAUUAAUAAAUAUUUUUAGAAUUAAAAAAUAAAUGGUACAAUCAUUACGUAUCUCAGUUAUUGGGAUAUUGACUCUAAUUGUCUCUGAGACGUAUAAUAGGGUUUAAUGGGUACGAUUGGUUACCUAAAGGUAAUUGUAGGAAUAUAAUUGGGGGGGUCUAGUUUGACGGAUUUUUGUUAAUGUAUUCGUGAAUAAAAAUAAAAGAACAGAAUAGACGACAGAGAGAUCAAAAUAACAAUAUUCUAAGGUUGUGUUUCGAUCAAGAUUUGGGUGAAAAAAAUAAAGUUCGCUAGAGAAUUUAAACGGUCCGAACUAUUUGAGUUUUUUUAGUUGUUUUGUUUUUUAUUUUGUUUUUUUUUUUUCACCAAAAUCUUAAUCUAAAUCCAUCAUAAGUAGAAGGAGAUGAUUUAUAGAGUGCAUAAAAAACUUCAGCGAAAGUGUCCUUGAUGUUCUUGGAGGGACCAUUGUAAUCCUAUUAUUUUUCAUGAAAAAAUGAAGACUUGAAGAACCAAUGUCUAGGAAACUACGUUUGACUUUGUUUUGUGAUCAUUUAGAAUCUUGUGGCAUGACGAUAAAUAUAAAUACAUAUUAAGCUCCAAGAAGAGAAAAUGACAAUCACAUUGUACUAUGUAUCUUUGUUUAUUAUGUAUUUGGGUACGAAAAUAAAAUAAAAACAAUGUAUUAAUUUCGUGCAAAUGAAAAUAUUAUUUUUGUACAAAAUAAAAAUAAAUCUUAAUUCGAUAUAAUCAAAAUUUGGGGGGAAAUAGAAAGGAUAUCAUUUCUUUAUAUAUUCAUAUUCAAUCGUACAAUAGCAGAACUGAGAUUUCCGUAAAGGUCAAAAAAUGAAGUGAUUGAAAGGUUAAAGAAUAAAAAACUAAAUCAAUUUAACCAAAAAAUAAAAGUAGUAAUGUCACGUCCCUCAACCCGGCCUAUGCAGAUCGUGGUCUGUCUGAUAUAGCCGGCGGCUGGCCAAAGCCUCGGAUCUUCAACCUAUGCAAUUAUUUUAAAAGCUAUACUAAAUUUUUCUCUUUUUGCGGAACGUCUUAAUUGAAAAAAAAAUAAAGGUCACGUCCGUACGUACAUAGAGUUGUGCUAAAUUCCAACUAUACAUACUGUUCGCCAAUUAAUUAUCAUACAUUGCAUGGCCAAUAUAAUUACAUCACUGUUAAUCUAUCUAAUCUGGCUCCAAUAUAACCCAAGGCUCCUUUAGGCCCACAAUACAUCUGCUUGCUUCCUUCUUCUAUAAGCUCCUCGUUGACUUCUUAAAAAUGAUUUUCUAAAACGUAAGUUUAAAGUUUUGUAAAUGAACAUCAAUGUAUGAACGUAAAAUACCAUGGAUAUUUGCAUAUAUAUCUAUAAUCAUUUUGCAUAACCAUGUAGCUAUCAUAGCGUUUAUAAAGCUGACUUUUAUAACUUGAAGGCUCACAUAACUAUCAUAUACUUUUAUUGAAUCCUCCUGGUUUUCAAUAAAUUUGUCUUUCAUGAAGCAUAUAGAAACUUAUCUGAAAAUGAACACUCGGCUGAACGGGUGACCAUAUAGGUCGGGGCGGUGGCUCUUUUAGCAUUGAGAUAUCUCGCCUUGUAGAUGGAACUUAUUUACGUCCCCCCAUCUACCUUAUGGACACUUAGACUAGAUUAAGGUCCCACCCCACCACUGGGAUCCCGAGUGGUUCCUUGUUUUACUUAUCUGAACAUACUUUGCUUUUGAUAUAAAUGAACAUCCUGUUUUGAUUCAUAACAUAAUAAUCAUCCAUAUCAUUUGAACGGCAUGAUAUUCAUAUUGCCAUAAUAUAUCGUUAAUGCACUGAAAGUUAUGGAACAACAUUUGUAUAUACAUAGUAAUGCUUUAAAAUAUUUAGAAAAUACCUAAAUUGGUAUUCAUGUAUCGUGUUACGCACCUGGAUUCUCUUGGUUAUGCUCUAAACGUCGUGUUUCACAUUUAAAGAACACGGUAAAAAAUUAUCAAUAUUAUACUAGCCAUCCUUUGUAUAAAAUUUAAUAAAUUACUAUUGGCUCUCUAUUCUACUCCACGCAUAUCCGUUUAAACUUCUUUAUGCACUAGGGUAAUUCUAAGAUGGUGCAGAUAUAAUUUAUUCUCAUUUAAGCCUCGGUAUCCCGUUCGAAUCACAGUAGAAAGCGUUCGAACUCAACGUUCGAACACAAUAACACCGUUCAAACGUUUUCACUACGAACUCAAAAAUUCCAAAUCAGUCUCCUCCAACAUAUUUUCAUUUCUUUCAAGACUUCUAAAACUCAAAGACAAACUCAUUUUGGUUUACAAUAACUUAAUUUUCAACUCUUAAAAAGAACCUAUAAUGGUAGAUUUAAGAUUAGACUUUGAAAUUAGCUCAAAAAACUUUUGGAGUUUUGUUUUUUUAAACCCACACUUGGAUCACCAAUAAACCUCUAAUACAUGUAUUUGACUCAAUUUGAGACUCAGAAAGUCUCUAAUGAAUAUUAAUCAUAUACAAUACUUCUAACAUGUAUAGUUUAGGAUUUCACCUCUUUCUCAGCUUUUUCCAAGCUCCACAAUGGCUUCCCCUUUUGCUUUGAAUGAGCUUUUCAUCUGCUCUCUCUCUAUUCCCUUCCUCGCCUUCUCCUCUUCUCCCCUUCUUCUUCUCUUCUUUUCUUCUUUCUCUAUCUCUCUUCUCCCUCACGGGCGUCGUGGUGGGAGUGUGGUAUGGUUUGGUGUAUACUGCUGAUAGGAUUUUAAAUCCCAUGUGCUUUGGGC
rnacentral:lncRNA from 1 species